UUUCCGUAGGUGAACCUGCGGAAGGAUCAUUCAUAAUAAGUGUUUUAUGGCACUUUUUUAAAUCCAUAUCCACCUUGUGUGCAAUGUCAGGGUUGAUUUUUCUCUCGAGAGGAUCAACCCCAAACAUCAACUAUAUCUCAAUUCUUUGUCUGAAAAAUAUUAUGAAUAAAACAAUUCAAAAUACAACUUUCAACAACGGAUCUCUUGGCUCUC
rnacentral:misc_RNA from 1 species